rnacentral:rRNA from 1 species
UACGUAGGGAGCAAGCGUUGUCCGGAAUCAUUGGGCGUAAAGAGCGCGUAGGCGGUCCGGUAAGUCGGUUGUGAAAACUGGGGGCUCAACCCUCAGAGGCCGACCGAUACUGCCGGGCUAGAGUCCGGAAGAGGCGAGUGGAAUUCCUGGUGUAGCGGUGAAAUGCGCAGAUAUCAGGAAGAACACCCGUGGCGAAGGCGGUUCUCUGGGACGGUACUGACGCUGAGACGCGAAAGCGUGGGGAGCGAACAGG